CAGUCUCCUCUUCUCCAGACUAAAUAAACCAAGUAAGGAACCUACACUUUCCCUUAACUUCCUCUUAUUGUUGACAUGCUUGUAGAAGCCCUUAUUGUUACCCUUCAUAUCCUUUGCUAGCUGCAACUCCAGUUGCACGUUGGCCUCAUCCCUGCA